rnacentral:rRNA from 1 species
GCCACACUGGGACUGAGACACGGCCCAGACUCCUACGGGAGGCAGCAGUAGGGAAUUUUCGGCAAUGGGCGAAAGCCUGACCGAGCAAUGCCGCGUGAAUGAAGAAAUUCUUCGGAAUGUAAAAUUCUGUGGUGAGGGAAGAAAGGUAUUAGAAGGAAAUGGCUAAUAUUUGACGGUACCUUACUAGAAAGCCCCGGCUAACUAUGUGCCAGCAGCCGCGGUAAUACAUAGGGGGCAAGCGUUAUCCGGAAUUAUUGGGCGUAAAGCGUGCGUAGGCGGCCACUUAAGUCUGUCGUGAAAGCCCACAGCUUAACUGUGGAGGGUCGAUGGAAACUGAGAGGCUUGAAUCUAGGAGAGGUAAGUGGAAUUCCAUGUGUAGCGGUAAAAUGCUUAGAUAUAUGGAGGAACACCAGUGGCGAAGGCGGCUUACUGGUCUAGAAUUGACGCUGAUGCACGAAAGCGUGGGUAGCAAACAGGAUUAGAUACCCUGGUAGUCCACGCCGUAAACGAUGAGCACUAAGUGUCGGACGUAAGUUCGGUGCUGAAGUUAACGCAUUAAGUGCUCCGCCUGGGGAGUACGGUCGCAAGACUGAAACUCAAAGGAAUUGACGGGGACUCGCACAAGCGGUGGAGCAUGUGGUUUAAUUCGACGCAACGCGAAAAACCUUACCAGGCCUUGACAUACCGAUGACGUCUUUAGAGAUAGAGAGUUACCUUCGGGUACAUCGGAUACAGGUGGUGCAUGGUUGUCGUCAGCUCGUGUCGUGAGAUGUUGGGUUAAGUCCCGCAACGAGCGCAACCCUUAUCAUUAGUUGCUAACAGUCAGAUGAGCACUCUAAUGAGACUGCCAGCGAAAAGUUGGAGGAAGGUGGGGAUGACGUCAAAUCAUCAUGCCCCUUAUGGCCUGGGCUACACACGUGCUACAAUGGCUGGUACAAAGAGGAGCAAAGCUGUGAAGUGGAGCAAAUCUCAAAAAGCCAGUCUCAGUUCGGAUUGUAGUCUGCAACUCGACUACAUGAAGUUGGAAUCGCUAGUAAUCGUAAAUCAGCAUGUUACGGUGAAUACGUUCUCGAGUCUUGUACACACCGCCCGUCACACCAUGAGAGUUUGUAAUACCCGAAGCCGGUGGCUUAACCGCAAGGAGAGAGCCGUCUAAGGUAGGACAGAUGAUUGGGGUGAAGUCGUAACAAGGUAUCCCUACGAGAACGUGGGGAUG